CCUACGGGAGGCAGCAGUAGGGAAUAUUGCUCAAUGGGGGAAACCCUGAAGCAGCAACGCCGCGUGGAGGAUGAAGGUUUUCGGAUUGUAAACUCCUUUUGUUAGAGAAGACAAUGACGGUAUCUAACGAAUAAGCACCGGCUAACUCCGAGACAGCACCCGCGGUAACAUGGCGGGGGCAAGCGUUACUCGGAAGCACUGGGCGUAAAGAGGACGUAGGCGGGAUAGCAAGUCAGAUGUGAAAUCCUAGGGCUUAACCCUAGAACUGCAUUUGAAACUGUUAUUCUAGAGUAUGGGAGAGGUAGGUGGAAUUCUUGGUGUAGGGGUGAAAUCCGUAGAGAUCAAGAGGAAUACUGAUUGCGAAGGCGGCCUGCUAGAACAUAACUGACGCUGAUGCGCGAAAGCGUGGGGAGCAAACAGGAUUAGAUACCCUUGUAGUC
rnacentral:rRNA from 1 species